ACGGAGAGUUUGAUCCUGGCUCAGAACUAACGCUGGCGGCGCGUCUUAAACAUGCAAGUCGAACGGUGAAAAUGAAGCUUCGGCUGAAACACGAGUGGCGAACGGGUGAGUAACACGUAGGUAAUCUACCUUUCGGCGGGGGACAACUCAGGGAAACUUGAGCUAAUACCGCAUAUUCUAUCUGGCUCACGGGUCGGAUAGUGAAAGCCUUCGGGCACCGGAAGAUGAGCCUGCGUCCUAUUAGCUUGUUGGUGAGGUAACGGCUCACCAAGGCAA
rnacentral:rRNA from 14 species